rnacentral:rRNA from 1 species
AGCGAACGCUGGCGGCAGGCUUAACACAUGCAAGUCGAGCGGGCCCUUCGGGGUCAGCGGCGGACGGGUGAGUAACGCGUGGGAACGUGCCUUCUGGUCUGGAAUAACCCUGGGAAACUAGGGCUAAUACCGGAUACGCCCUUUCGGGGAAAGGUUUACUGCCGGAAGAUCGGCCCGCGUCUGAUUAGCUAGUUGGUGGGGUAACGGCCUACCAAGGCGACGAUCAGUAGCUGGUCUGAGAGGAUGAUCCGCCACGCUGGCGCUGAGACACGGCCCAGACUCCUACGGGAGGGAGGAGUGGGGAAUAUUGGACGAUGGGCGCUAGCCUGAUCCAGCCAUGCCGGGUGAGUGAUGAAGGCCUUAGGGUUGUAAAGCUCUUUUAUCCGGGACGAUAAUGACGGUACUGGAGGAAUAAGCCCCGGCUAACUUCGUG